GGCAGCGUAGCUUAACCAGCAAAGCCCCAGGUUCAUACCCUGGUUGUUGCGGGUGCAACUCCCGCCGCUGCGACCA
rnacentral:tRNA from 1 species